rnacentral:rRNA from 1 species
CAUGCAAGUCGAACGAGCCUUCGGGCUAGUGGCGGACGGGUGAGUAACGCGUGGGAAUCUGCCCUCAGGAGGGGGAUAACGGCCGGAAACGGCCGCUAAUACCCCAUAUGCCGAGAGGUGAAAUGAAUUUCGCCUGAGGAUGAGCCCGCGUCUGAUUAGCUAGUUGGUGUGGUAAUGGCGCACCAAGGCUUCGAUCAGUAGCUGGUCUGAGAGGAUGAUCAGCCACACUGGGACUGAGACACGGCCCAGACUCCUACGGGAGGCAGCAGUGGGGAAUUUUCCGCAAUGGGCGCAAGCCUGACGGAGCAACGCCGCGUGAGGGACGAAGGCCUCUGGGCUGUAAACCUCUUUUCUCAAGGAAGAAGACAUGACGGUACUUGAGGAAUAAGCCACGGCUAAUUCCGUGCCAGCAGCCGCGGUAAUACGGGAGUGGCAAGCGUUAUCCGGAAUUAUUGGGCGUAAAGCGUCCGCAGGCGGCCCAGCAAGUCUGUUGUUAAAAAGUGGAGCUUAACUCCAUCCAGGCAAUGGAAACUGCUGGGCUAGAGUGUGGUAGGGGCAGAGGGAAUUCCCGGUGUAGCGGUGAAAUGCGUAGAUAUCGGGAAGAACACCAGUGGCGAAGGCGCUCUGCUGGGCCAUAACUGACGCUCAUGGACGAAAGCCAGGGGAGCGAAAGGGAUUAGAUACCCCUGUAGUCCUGGCCGUAAACGAUGAACACUAGGUGUCGGGGGAAUCGACCCCCUCGGUGUCGUAGCCAACGCGUUAAGUGUUCCGCCUGGGGAGUACGCACGCAAGUGUGAAACUCAAAGGAAUUGACGGGGGCCCGCACAAGCGGUGGAGUAUGUGGUUUAAUUCGAUGCAACGCGAAGAACCUUACCAGGGUUUGACAUCCUGCGAAUCCCUUGGAAACUUGGGAGUGCCUUCGGGAGCGCAGUGACAGGUGGUGCAUGGCUGUCGUCAGCUCGUGUCGUGAGAUGUUGGGUUAAGUCCCGCAACGAGCGCAACCCACGUCUUUAGUUGCCAGCAUUCAGUUGGGCACUCUAGAGAGACCGCCGGUGAUAAACCGGAGGAAGGUGUGGAUGACGUCAAGUCAUCAUGCCCCUUACAUCCUGGGCUACACACGUACUACAAUGCUACGGACAAAGGGCAGCAAACUCGCGAGAGCUAGCAAAUCCCAUAAACCGUGGCUCAGUUCAGAUCGUAGGCUGCAACUCGCCUACGUGAAGGAGGAAUCGCUAGUAAUCGCAGGUCAGCAUACUGCGGUGAAUACGUUCCCGGGCCUUGUACACACCGCCCGUCACACCAUGGAAGUUGGCCAUGCCCGAAGUCGUUACUCCAACCCGUAAGGGAGGAGGACGCCGAAGGUGGGGCUGAUGACUGGGGUGAAGUCGUAACAAGGUAGCCGUAUCGGAAGGUGCGGCUGGA